GGACUCGUAGCUCAGUUGGUUAGAGCGUCUCAUUUACACUGAGAAGGUCCCCUGUUCGAGUCAGGGCGGGUCCA
rnacentral:tRNA from 1 species